GUUGGUGACGUCAGAGAAGGUUUUGCGCACGUUACUUCACGUAACACACCAACAGGUCAGGACCGGUCAGGACGAGGACAGCAACUUUUGAGCAGAAAGGACAGUUUGGGAAUUCAUAAGCCAUUUUGAAGUGGGAAUUCGUGGAUGUGGAGCCACACAUCAACAGUACCAGACUUGAUGUGUAUCUCAGUAUUGAAGCAACACGUGGAA